rnacentral:rRNA from 1 species
CCCUUAGAUGUUCUGGGCUGCACGCGCGCUACACUGAAGCGUUCAACGAGUAUUCACCUUGCCCGGGAGGGUUGGGUAAUCUUUUGAAAACGCUUCGUGAUGGGGAUAGAUUAUUGCAAUUAUUAAUCUUCAACGAGGAAUUCCUAGUAAGCGCGAGUCAUCAGCUCGUGCUGAUUACGUCCCUGCCCUUUGUACACACCGCCCGUCGCUCCUACCGAUUGAAUGAUCCGGUGAGGCCCCCGGAAUGUGGUCACGGCUUUGGUUCGCCAAACUGAGAUCGCGUGAAGCUGUCCAAACCUUAUCAUUUAGAGGAAGGAGAAGUCGUAACA